UGUGUACAUGAUGGGGAAGGGAGACAUUGCCAAGGAGGCCUUUUUCGACAAUUCACGAGGAAGUGGUUUGUUGGCGGAGGCACGAUCUGGCGUGCUACGUACUCGACACUGGAGGGCACACUAUGUUGACGGGCAGCAGACUCAAUGCAUCCUUUGCAAUGCAGCAGAGGAAACAAUCGAACACAUAGUCCUCCAGUGUCCGAAGAUCCACCCACCCUCCGGGACAACUUCGCUACAGACGGCACUCGGUUUUGUCGAGGGAGAAGACCAGCGUAAAGGCGCCAGAACACAUGUGGAGCUAACCAAACAACGGUUGGAGCACUGGUGGCGGUAUGGUGCGCCGCGGUGACUCUCGUGCCCAUGUUUCCGGGAAUGUCUUGGAGCCGCGAUGCUCUGAAAUACGUUUCUUUUUUUUUUUUUUUUUUUUUCCCAGGCUACGCCGCGCAUUGAGCGCAGGCGACCCGAUUCAAAGGGUAUAGCCAGAUCAUCAUCGCCAUCGCCAUCGUGUUUGGAGUUCGGAUAGAUCAGACUCUUCGUUGGCCUCGUUUUUAGGUGUUUGAUCCGUGACGUUUCGUCGAAAAAUCACAAGCGCGCAUGCCGUAGGUGUUUGCCUGGUUGCAAGAUCUUGCCGAUUUCAACGUUUUUCCACCUCUUCGGUUGGCGUACGCUGAACUGGACCCUCGCAGCAAGAAUGGCACGUGGGAAUUGACACCGCGAUCGUGGAACACAUGGCUGAUCUGCCUCGAAUAACUGCAAGCCGGCGCGUGCGUAGUGCCGUGGAGAACGAUCAGAAGUCCUGGACGACAAAGAAAAAACUUCAAAGCUGCUUCUAGUAGUGGUGCCCCUGGUGUGCACCUUUACCCCAAAUGUCUGCACCUUUGCCUACCGGUAAUGACAUAGAAUGUGCUCAGCUUCCUGGACAUAGGCAUGCAGGUUAAGAGACGGAAAACGUGCAGCUUAGACUUCAUGCCUGUAAAUGCGAAAGUCGUAACCGACAUAAUUAGAGUAAGCUAAAAGGAGAAAUUUCUACUUAUGAGCAAGUAAUUAUGAAGCAGGUUUUACUCCUCUUAAACUAGCAGACAUGCAACAACACAGUUGUGCUAUGUUUGUUUUGUGCGCCACUUUCAUGCAUAUUUGUGCUUGCAGUGGAUAUGCAUAUACAUGAAGGAUUUGUUUUUUUUUCCCUCAGCUGCCUCUGCGAACCCCGCUCCUGGACAACAGCUGGGAGGCUCUGUGUUUAAACGCGUGCACCUUGGACAUCAUGCUCCUGCCUCUGCAAGCCCUUUUGCUGGACGCCAUGGAAGGCCCUCCACUCGAAAGUGUGCACCUUAGACUACACGCUCAUCAAUACCAAGUUCUCUGUCCUUCUCGGCAUGAUUGUAGUGCCAUAUAAUAGUGAGGCAAUAAAUCAUUUUUGCUGGUCA